rnacentral:rRNA from 1 species
UACGAAGGGGGCUAGCGUUGCUCGGAAUCACUGGGCGUAAAGGGCGCGUAGGCGGCUCUUUAAGUCAGGGGUGAAAUCCUGGAGCUCAACUCCAGAACUGCCUUUGAUACUGAGGAUCUUGAGUUCGGGAGAGGUGAGUGGAACUGCGAGUGUAGAGGUGAAAUUCGUAGAUAUUCGCAAGAACACCAGUGGCGAAGGCGGCUCACUGGCCCGAUACUGACGCUGAGGAGCGAAAGCGUGGGGAGCGAACAGG